UGUUAUUUAGUUUAUAUUAGAACAUUUAAUUUGCGUUUAAGAAGAGUUUAUCAAUAACAA
rnacentral:tRNA from 1 species